AUUAAAAAAAAAAUCGGAAUCUGAGAUCCAGAUUGCAAUGACCAAUGCGCAUUCUUUCAUCUAUACAUAAAUAAGAAAGAAUAAACUAAACGUAUAUAUCUCUGUUGUCCCAUUCCCUACAUUCAACACAAACAAAAGCAACAAGAUUUGACAGUUCACCGAUAUGAAGCUUCGUUAUUCUAAUUGUAUUUAUUUAUAUCUUACAUUUGUUUAGCCUAUUACAAAGAGAUUAACUGAACCACCAAAUCAUGAAAAUAAGAAAAAGUAUUAGAUUGACAUAUCGGUAAG
rnacentral:misc_RNA from 1 species